rnacentral:rRNA from 1 species
UACGUAGGGUGCGAGCGUUGUCCGGAAUUACUGGGCGUAAAGAGCUCGUAGGUGGUUUGUCGCGUUGUCCGUGAAAACUCACAACUCAAUUGUGGGCGUGCGGGCGAUACCGGGCAGACUGGAGUACUGCAGGGGAGACUGGAAUUCCUGGUGUAGCGGUGGAAUGCGCAGAUAUCAGGAGGAACACCAGUGGCGAAGGCGGCGACCUGGGCCAAUAUUGACGCUGAGGUGCGAAAGCGUGGGGAGCAAACAGG